UUGGGAUAGUGCUUGAAAUCUUCUGUGAGGUGUGACAGCCCUUCAAGACCCUAAUUAGUUAUCAGUAGUUGUUGAUAACGUUUACAUGCAGAUGCAGUCCCUCUGUCUACAGUCUCCACUCUGUAGCCUCACUCAAUGUCCAACAGCACUUUCUGAUUAGUUAGACAUCAUGAGAAACAGACUAUCACCACUGAAGGCUGCCAUUCCACAGAAUGUGGUGAUAGGUCGCUUUUUCACCAAGGUAAGAAAAAAUCCUUACCAUCACAACCCUACCCUGACCUGCAGCAGAUAGAAUAUAUUUCUUGGGCUGCUGUUUGUAUGGAUUCUGCAUCACUGGCUUGCUGGGAGCAGCCAUCUGAGGAGGUAGCUGCCAAGGGACUUUGAAUGUCUGCACACCAAUUGGCUGGGCCUCAAAACGGGUGAAUGUGUGGUAAGCACAAGCCAAGCUGCAGAGCUUCCCCUUUUAGGAACCGACAAUAGUGCUGAAGCCAGAGGAACACCCUCUUUCUUGAUGUUAAGUUUUUUUCCAUGUCUGAAAGCCCAUCUGGCCUCUUUUGGAGGAUGACAAUGCUAGGGGCCCUUCACACUGCCUGACAUGCUGCUCCGGUGAGGUGAUUGUGUGUCUGGUCAGUUGACAGUCCAAUAUUCACUAAUAACCUACAUUUGCUAAAUGUACUAAAAGAGAAAAUGUCAAUGCAUAAAUACAAAUUUGAAGAAUUCUCAAGACUUACUGUCACUGUCAGUGGUGCAGGAUUUUCAUCAGUAUUGAUGGAAAGCCUUGCCAUGCCAUUGGCUGCAGUGCGGCCCUGUACCUCACCCGGAUUCACCUCCACUAUAACACCUUCUUUUGGUGAGCCGUCAGGGUUCACAACUUCAACCUGCCAUCAGAGAAACAGUGAGAAUACUUGCUAACUAAUGAAAGCAAGUUUAAAGGCACUAUGUGUAACAAUUUCAGUUGUUCUUUGAGACAAACAAAUUUUGCAGUCAAAAGUGUGUCCUCCUAGUACGUGUAUUUACCUCCAUCAGCGUAUCUAAAUAUGUCCGUAAGCUCCGAAAUUCUCAUUUACAUAUACAUUGCGACCGGUGUCUCAUCAUGUACGUGUGCCUUCUUGAAAAUACAGGUACGUACAAGGACAUACUUGAGAAAUACGGAAUCGCAUUUUGUGUUUUCACUUGUCAGUUUUUCCGAUUUCCGGCUGCAGGUAGAGUGACGAAAAGCAGCAGCAGCAAGUAGGCUAGUCACAAGUGUCGGUGCAUUUGAAAAAAGGCAAAAAGGC